UACAGAGGGUGCGAGCGUUGUUCGGAAUUACUGGGCGUAAAGGGCCCGUAGGCGGCCGGCUAAGUCCGACGUGAAAUCCCCAGGCUUAACCUGGGAACUGCGUCGGAUACUGGCUGGCUUGAAUUCGGGAGAGGGAUGCAGAAUUCCAGGUGUAGCGGUGAAAUGCGUAGAUAUCUGGAGGAAUACCGGUGGCGAAGGCGGCAUCCUGGACCGACAUUGACGCUGAACGGCGAAAGCUAGGGGGGCAAACGGG
rnacentral:rRNA from 1 species